CCCUGUGCUAAGUGCAUUGCCUGCUGCGUCUCACCCUUCAGUGGGAGUAGGGUGGUCAGGACAAGAGGAAGCAAGGGAUGCAGCUAUUUGGGGAAGAGUGUUUCCAGCAGAAGGAAGAAGACCUGCCCAGGUGUCGGAUAAGAGCCUGCUUGGUGCAUUCAGGGAUACGAAGGAGGCCAGCGUGGCUGAGAUGAGGUAGGGGCAGCCGGGGUGAGAACAGGUGGGACUUGCCGGCCAUGAAGAGGACCUUGGAUUGCUGUUGAGUGAAAUGGAAAGCCAAAUGUAGGGUCUUGAACAGAAGAGGGACAUGAUGA
rnacentral:lncRNA from 10 species